rnacentral:tRNA from 1 species
AGCGCAGCCUGGUAGCGCACCACAAUGGGGUUGUGGGGGUCGGAGGUUCGAAUCCUCUC